ACUCAAUAGAUACCCUGGUAGUCCACGCCCUAAACGAUGUCGACUGGUUGUUGGGGGUUUGACACUCUCAGUAAACGAAAGCUAAACGCGUGAAGUCGACCGCCUGGGGAGUACGGCCGCAAGGUUAAAACUCAAAGGAAUUGACGGGGACCCGCACAAGCGGUGGAUUAUGUGGAUUAAUUCGAUGCAACGCGAAAAACCUUACCUACCCUUGACAUGUCCGGAAGGCUGCUGAAAGGCGGCUGUGCCCGAAAGGGAACUGGAACACAGGUGCUGCAUGGCUGUCGUCAGCUCGUGUCGUGAGAUGUUGGGUUAAGUCCCGCAACGAGCGCAACCCUUGUCAUUAGUUGCUACCCGCAAGGGAGCACUCUAAUGAGACUGCCGGUGACAAACCGGAGGAAGGUGGGGAUGACGUCAAGUCCUCAUGGCCCUUAUGGGUAGGGCUUCACACGUAAUACAAUGGCGCGUACAGAGGGUUGCCAAGGAGCGAUCUGGAGCCAAUCCCGUAAAGCGCGUCGUAGUCCGGAUUGCAGUCUGCAACUCG
rnacentral:rRNA from 1 species